rnacentral:rRNA from 1 species
UCGUCGAAGGUGGAAUCAAUAACUGGGGUGAAGUCGUAACAAGGUAGCCGUAUCGGAAGGUGCGGCUGGAUCACCUCCUUU